UACGUAGGGGGCAAGCGUUGUCCGGAUUUAUUGGGCGUAAAGAGCGUGUAGGCGGUUUGGUAGGUCCGUUGUGAAAACUCGAGGCUCAACCUCGAGACGCCGAUGGAAACCAUCAGACUAGAGUCCGGAAGAGGAGAGUGGAAUUCCUGGUGUAGCGGUGAAAUGCGCAGAUAUCAGGAAGAACACCCGUGGCUAAGGCGGCUCUCUAGGACGGUACUGACGCUGAGACGCGAAAGCGUGGGGAGCAAACAGG
rnacentral:rRNA from 1 species